GACGAACGCUGGCGGCGUGCUUAACACAUGCAAGUCGAACGGAAAGGCCCUGCUUUUGUGGGGUGCUCGAGUGGCGAACGGGUGAGUAACAAGUGAGUAACCUGCCCUUGAUUUUGGGAUAACUUCAGGAAACUGGGGCUAAUACCGGACAGGAGAUCCUGCAGCAUGGUGGGGGUGGGAAAGUUUCGGCGGUUGGGGAUGGACUCGCGGCUUAUCAGCUUGUUGGUGGGGUAGUGGCUUACCAAGGCAUUGACGGGUAGCCGGCCUGAGAGGGUUAACGGCUACCUUGGGACUAAGAGACGGCCCAGCCUCUUACGGGGGGCAGCAGUGGGAAAUUUUACUCAUUGCGCUGAAGGCUUAUGCAAAGCCGCCGCGUGCGGGAUGCCGGCUUUCGGGUUAUAAACCGUUUUCGCCUGUGACGACGCGUGUGUGACGGUAUUGUGUACAGAAGCACCGGCUAACUCCUUG
rnacentral:rRNA from 1 species